rnacentral:rRNA from 1 species
CAGAAAGACCCUAUGAAGCUUUACUGUAACCUGAAAUUGAAAUUGGACUUUAUUCGCGCAGUAUAGGUGGGAGGUGUAGAAACCGGUCUUGAGGGAUUGGUGGAGCCAUCAGUGAGAUACCACUCUUGUAAUGUUAGAUUUCUAACUUUGAAUCAUUAUCUGGUCAAAGAACAGUUUCAGGCGGGCAGUUUGACUGGGGCGGUCGCCUCCCAAAUGGUAACGGAGGCGUACAAAGGUUUCCUCUGAACGAGUAGAAAUCGUAUCUAGAGUGUAAAGGCAUAAGGAAGCUUGACUGUGAGACCUACAAGUCGAGCAGGGACGAAAGUCGGUCUUAGUGAUCUGACGGUACUGAGUGGAAAGGCCGUCACUCAACGGAUAAAAGUUACUCUAGGGAUAACAGGCUGA